rnacentral:rRNA from 1 species
AUUGAACGCUGGCGGCAGGCCUAACACAUGCAAGUCAAGCGGAUGAAGGGAGCUUGCUCCUGGAUUCAGCGGCGGACGGGUGAGUAAUGCCUAGGAAUCUGCCUGGUAGUGGGGGAUAACGUCCGGAAACGGGCGCUAAUACCGCAUACGUCCUGAGGGAGAAAGUGGGGGAUCUUCGGACCUCACGCUAUCAGAUGAGCCUAGGUCGGAUUAGCUAGUUGGUGGGGUAAAGGCCUACCAGGGCGACGAUCCGUAACUGGUCUGAGAGGAUGAUCAGUCACACUGGAACUGAGACACGGUCCAGACUCCUACGGGAGGCAGCAGUGGGGAAUAUUGGACAAUGGGCGAAAGCCUGAUCCAGCCAUGCCGCGUGUGUGAAGAAGGUCUUCGGAUUGUAAAGCACUUUAAGUUGGGAGGAAGGGCAGUAAGUUAAUACCUUGCUGUUUUGACGUUACCAACAGAAUAAGCACCGGCUAACUUCGUG